AAGACAGAUUCCAAGAUCCUUGGAGUCCCCACAGAAGUUAUCUGAACGGCGGGUCUGCGGACCCCGACACGAGUUUGGGUCUGUAGCUCAGUUGGUUAGAGCGCACCCCUGAUAAGGGUGAGGUCGCUGGUUCAACUCCAGCCAGACCCACCAGUCCCGACUGGGGCCAUAGCUCAGCUGGGAGAGCGCCUGCCUUGCACGCAGGAGGUCGGGAGUUCGAUCCUCCCUGGCUCCACCACCCCUGAGCGGCAGUCAGAUCCCAGCGAUAAGUCAAGUCUUGAACGUCAAUAGCGUUGGCGUUUAAGACUUGGUUUUUCCAAGCAUGAGUUCUUUAACAAAACGGUGAGAUCGUAAGGCGUCUGAACGGCGCUCUAUCCGUUCAGAGCAACGUAGGUGAUGUCGGAGACAUGACCCCGAGCG
rnacentral:tRNA from 1 species